GAUGAAUGGUUAGUGAGAUCUCUGGAUUGCACUGAUCGGGGUUCGCGCCUCUUCAGAAAGCCGAGAAACUGCUCAAACUGUAUCAUUAGAGGAAGUAAAAGUCGUAACAAGGUUUCCGUAGGUGAACCUGCGGAAGGAUCAUUA
rnacentral:rRNA from 1 species